UUUUUUUUUUAAUAUUUAAGAAAACUUACUAGGUGUUUAUACAAAACCACAUAUACAUAAUAUGUGUAACAAAAACAAAAAAAUAAAAAACAUAUCAUUUGUUGAAUCAAUACAUUCAUCACUCCGUUCAGAAUCUAAAAUACAAUAAUGAAUAAUGAUGACGUAGAAGACAAACUGCAGUUUGAAUAAGGUUUUUUAAAAAAAAAAAAUUUAUUGGCAAAGUUCUCCGAAAAAUUGGAAUAUUUGGAAAAAUCUGAAAGUGCUUUUUUAAGCAAAAUAAUGCUUACCGGAUCAACUAGUUUUCUCAUAAUACGACGUGGAGUAAUUACAAAACAGAAUAGUAUGGGAUCUAGGUACCUCGAGGAAUGUCAGAUAUUGUUUGGAGGUCUUACCAAUGAGAAAAAUGAACUUUCAACCGAGUAAGACUUAGUCCAAGAUAAGACAGGCUCGCCAUUUCGUCAACUUCGAGUUGGCAAAAUAAAUAAAUCAAGAUAAAAUUACUGGUUCAGAUAAGAACUAAAAUCAAUAACACUAGUAACCGUGGAGUGACCAGAGUAAAAAACAUGUUGAUUCAGUGUUGUGAUCGACAAAAUAAAAAAAGUGAUCUUUUAACAUGUCAGAGUACAAUAGACUGGAAUAUUUUUUCAAAGAAUGGAAGAUCUAAAAUUGGUUGGAGUUUGUAACAACCAUCAGAUUACAGGAUACGGAUUUUAAAUCGGUGUAACGCGUCUGUAUUUCCAGACGAAGGGGAAGAAAAAAUAACUCACACCAUCGCAAAAUCAAUACAUUCGUCGCUUCACUAAAAUAAAAGGUGAAUAAAAAAAAAUUUAAAAUGUAAAACGUAUAAAAUGUAAAUAAUGGUAUAUUUAACAAUA